rnacentral:lncRNA from 1 species
GCCCACUUGGAUGUUGAAAGGAAUGAAGAGAUUUAACACGUUUAAUCCCAACAUGUUCAUAUUGUCCCACCCCAGAUGCAAUGUAGUGUUGAUCAAGAAAUUUUGUAUGUGUCUAGUGUCAUAAGUGAUUGCAUGGUUGAAUUUCCUCCUGGUGCCACUGUAAACAUAGUCAAGAAUCUUUUGAUCACUGGAUUUGCAGUGAAGCAUUGCUUUCUCUUAGAAGGAAAGAAAUACUAUGUAGCCAGGUCUGUAUUAUUAACAGAAUAAUCAUGCAAAGUUGCAGUACUUGGGUCAAGAUAUAUAUAUAUAUAUAUAUACAAGGUUAAAGCAGAUGAGAAAUAUGCAGGCCGUUGAUCUGAUCUGGAAAGAACCAAUAUAAAAUCUCCUGUUGUGCUGGAUACUUUGGAACACCCUCUAUCCUCUCUAAUCAGUGUUGAAAUAUGUUUUGUGCUGUUUACCUCUGUGUUCUAAUGUUGUGACCUCUUGUAGCUUUGUCUGUUCAAUAUUGGAACCCCAGCGCUGGAAAUUAUCAGCAUUGUUUAACACGUACUGCAAACUGUAUGUGUAGGUUUUGAACUGCCAUGAUUCCGUUAUUUAUAUAUUAGCACCGGUGAAGUAUGCUACUGUGUAUGGAUGUUCUGAUACUACCGUUGUUCUUGGUGCUGUCGGCAAGGUAUGCAUGCAUGGCAUUUGGUCAUUCCUCACCCCCUCUGUUAUGUGGAUUCAAUUUGCUUCGAGGCAAUUUGUGUCUUGGUAGAGCUAAAUAGCAUAAUAUCUGCUCCAGUAUAUACUGUAUUCUGUGCAUGCAAAUAACCAUUAGCCACAUGCAACACAUCUGGAUUAUGGACUUGAAAUACUUGUCUGAUCAAUCUUAGUUCCUACGUUCUCGCUACUAAUCUUGACUCGUUUUGUUCUUGUUUGACAUGAACCUCAUAGUGGCUUUCCUUCUAACGAUAGCAUCACACAGGCAGUUUGGCGUGAUGCCAAUGAUGGUGAUAUGAUACUGUUCGUCACAUGAAGAGUUCAUGUGAUUCCACCAACAGUGACGUGAUUUGUCCAAAGAAGAGUCGGUGUGCGAUGUCAAUGCCAAACGUGAACCGACUUGUCAAGAUUAGGGGGAGAAUGUUGGAACUAGUAUUGUCUGUUUAAAUAUUUUGAGUCCUUGCAUGCUACAUAUGACUAAUCAUUAGCUCCAUGCAUAGAAGCUAGCGUGUGUUGGACUGUGUAUUUUCAGUCACCGGUGGACAGUAGCCACCUGGAUUCUGCUUUUACAGCAUUGCAGAAAAUUCAUUUGUUUGUUUUGGAAUUGGGGAACCGUUUUUCAUUUUGUCUAAUGAUCGAGUCAACCCUACCAUUGAGAGGAUAGAUGAAUAUUCAUUGUUUUUGGCUUUUCGUCCCCAUGGGGAAAAAAAACUAGAUGGUGAGAAUAAUGGCAAUAGAGGGGUGGUUAACAUUGUUGUGGACCAUAUGAUGACUGAUAAUUUAUGCAGUCUGCAUUGCUGGAAAAUUCUUAUGACACGGAUAAAAAUUUCAAGAAGUUAUUUGAGUUGAUAUGCUGUAUAAGUAGCAAAGAGGAAAAAUGGGAAAUCUGAUCGCAGAUGGAUAAUUGGUGUUUUUUAUUGGUCAUUCAAUUUUUGCUAUUUUUGCCCCAACUCUGCCAAUUGCAUUUCAAGAAUAUAAUGUUUCGUGUUGUCAGGUUAUAAAGGUGGAGCAUUGUGAAAGAGUGCAUAUUAUUGCAGCUGCAAAACGAAUCUGUAUUGCUAACUGUCGUGAGUGCAUCUUCUACUUGGGAGUAAAUCACCAGCCUCUUAUUGUGGGGGACAACCAUAAAUUACAUGUGAGGUUCUGCUACUCUUUCUGUUCUAAACUGUUAGUCAGGACUAGCUGCUGCGUAGCAAUUAAGUGGCGUAUGAUGAACAGUUGUAAAUUCUUAACAAUUCAUUGACAUGGCUAGUCAUCAUGUGUAAUAAUACACUAUGAAUGAAUCAUACAUCAUUUGUGCGGUACAUACUGUGUAUGUCACUACACCUAGAACUAAGAUCCAUAAACUGUAUUUAUGAGUGAAAAUCUGCUGUUCUAUUACUAUUAAGUGAAAAAGGAAGAUUAAUCGCCAAUUGUAUACAAGUAACCAUUCAUGACCGUGGAAUACUCUCUGAAUACAUAGGUUACAGCUAUGUUUUUAAAGCGUCCCUAAGGCGACGCCUAGGCGUCGAAGCGCUCCCCCUCCGCUUUGGAAAAUCGACCGCUUUGGGCGCCUAGGCGUCCAAAGCGCCCGCCUAGGCGUCGCCUAGGCGCCAAAGCGCCCCCCCUCCCUAAGGCGGUAAGGCGUCGCCUUAAAAACAUAGGGUUACAGUUGGAAAAGGUGUGACAGUCAAUGUUGUGAACUUGACAUGAUAGUAUAGUAACAAUAAUGCUUUAAUUUUUAAAUUUUGACAUUGUGAAAUUUCUCCAUUCAUGUAUGAACAGAUUGCUCCAUUUAAUACUUACUAUCCAAGAUUGGGUGAGCAUCUGACACAAGUUGGUGUAGAUCCCUCUACCAAUAAAUGGGACCAACCUUUUGUAUUGGGAGUCGUUGAUCCACAUGAUUCAUUGUCCCAUCCUGCUGGGGUUUCUGAUGUUCAAGCCGAAUCUGCUACUUGUGUAGAUCCUGAUCUAUUCACAAACUUUUUGGUAUGUUAAGUACAUUGUAAGAUUUUAGCUACAGCAUGAUAGUAUGCUUCUCGGGCCUUGUUUGUCUUUUCACAAUAAUUUUCUCUUGUAUAAAAACAACUAAACAUGACUACUAACGUCUGCAGAUUCCUAAUUGGUUUGAGGAUGAAGUACAAGAGCCUACAAAAUGCAAUCCUUUUCCAUUGCCUGAAAUUUAUCAGGCAUCGCAAAGCAAGAAGGUACAUUAACUUCGAUAAACUUCCCUAGAAUGAUGUUUCUAUUAUAAUUUACUCAAUGCUAAGGCUAUCUAGUGUGAUUCACACUGCCUCAUGGCCAUAAUGCAAAUCAGUAUUGAUUUGUUAAUGUUAUUUGGGUACAGUUUGUUCACUUCUCUAUAUUUUACUAGCACAAUGCCCGUGAGUUGCUACGAACUGCUUAAGAGCAUAAUUUUGAGUUGGAGUCACAUUUUUACAAUUUUUAUUUGUUCAUUCUGCAAGUGUUGGUCUCACAUGGAAGUACUCCCUCUACCGUAAUAUUUGUCGCUGGAGUAGUAGUAUACUUGUUUAUUUGUUUUAGGUCUCACAUGUAAGUAAAAGCACAUUUGUUUAUUUAUGUAUCUUGGAAGGUUGCUAGUCGAGUACUCUUGCUAGUCCCACAAGUGGGUAAGGGUGUAUUUUUUAUUGAUGAAGGUUGUUGGUUCCACAUGUGGAUAAGGGUUUAUUUUUUAUUGAUGAAGGUUGUUGGUCCCACAUAUGAACUCACCACCAACUCCAACCUUUAUAAGUAGGAAAGAUUUACUGUUUAGUAUUCCUAAAAGUCACAUGUUCCUAAACAUGCCAUAUCAUCUUCAGCAAGCUGUUCUGGAAGAUACUAAAAAAACUAUUCGGGAGCUGCAACUUGACGAAAAUAGGAAAAAGGAAUUAGCAAGCGCCCUGCACUCGCAGUUCAAAGAUUGGCUAUAUGGUAAUUUUUCAUCUGUGCAUUUGGUUAUUUCAUAGCAUGUACAUAUCACUUCUGCCUUUUAUAUGUCAGUAGUUACACUUGGUGCUUUAUCUCCAUGUCUCCAUCUGUUUCAUUAUUGUGGUGACGGGGUAAAUACCACAUAAGAUAGGAUUCAUUCAACCUUAUUUAACUAUUUGGAAGGCAGCCCAAUCUUAUUUAACUAUUUCGUUAAUGCCCUUGGAAUGCAACUGGAAGGAAAACAGGACCGGAAUGGUCUUCUUGGAUUCCUAUGAAAAUUCUUUAAAGAGGCCUUAAGUUUUUUUUUAAACCGAGGCAAAAGAUUUGCCUCAUCCAUUAAUUAAGGAGAAGAGAACAUAGGUUUGCAAAAUGUUAAAAUAAAAUUACACGGGGACUGUUUUCCUGGCAUGAUGCUACUCAGGUGCUUUGCGCCAGCAAGUGCCGAAAGCUUUGCCUCUUCUUUGAUACUUCCUCCAUUACAAAAAAAAAA